rnacentral:rRNA from 1 species
AACGAACGCUGGCGGCAUGCCUAACACAUGCAAGUCGAACGAGACCUCCGGGUUUAGUGGCGCACGGGUGCGUAACGCGUGGGAACCUGCCCUUAGGUUCGGCAUAACUCCCCGAAAGGGGUGCUAAUACCGGGUAAUAUUUUCGGACCAAAGAUUUAUCGGCUUUGGUGGGGGCCGCGUUGGUUUAGCUUGUUGGUAGGGUAAAAGCCUACCAAGGCGACGAUCCAUAGCUGGUUUGUGAGGAUGAUCAGCCACACUGGGACUGGGACACGGCCCCGACUCCUACGGGAGGCAGCAGUGGGUAAUAUAGGACCAUGGGCGAGAGCCAGAUCCAGCGAUGCCGCGUGAGUGAUGAAGGCGUUAGGGUUGUAAAGCUCUUUUACCCGGGAUGAUAAUGACAGUACCGGGAUAAUAAGCUCCGGCUAACUCCGUG